CAGACAACACAGCAACAACACAGAGCCUCACAGAGAAGGCCACUGCCAGGCUCAAAGAACCCAGCGAGAUAGAGAUGGUGCUAAACAAACGAAGAUUGAGGAGGUUUCAUGAAAAGACCCUCAGUAAAGCGCCAGGGUGUGUGGACCACCUCUCUGAGGAGCAGAGCCUGAGUGAAGUGAGGAAGAAACCAUGUGACAUCUAGGAGAACAUGUCCCAGGCAAAGGGAUCCUGAGUUUCAGAGGUCACCUUUCCUGGAACUUCCCCGUCCUCCUCAUUUGCUGACUGCAGCAGAGAGGAGAAGGAAGGACAUUCCAGAGGAGCCAGUCCUAUCAAUAAACGCUGGGUGGCUGGUGCUGAACAGCAUGUUUGGGGCACAGAGACCAGCCUGCCUACCCAGGCCUCCUUCAGAAUGCUCCUUGACGUCCAUCUGCUUGUUCUCUGGGGCUUCCCAGCUGCAGUAACUGCCUCGGCCAAAUCCAGAUCAGAGCAAUUAACUGGAUAAUUGCUCUAAUGAGAGCACAGAAUGAAUCACCAGGACCAAUCUCACCCCGGAAAAAUUAAAUGGCUAAACUGCCUGUCUAUGGCUCUUUGGGGCUCCAGCAGCUUCCUCUGUGAUCUCCAUGGGCCUUCCCAGGAAGAUUUGAUCCUCUGACACUAUGAGAAUUAACAGACAAAUGUGACGAUAGGAUUUUAUUAUAUGGUUAUGAGUUUGGGGAAUGAAGAUAAUCAAGACAGUGCUGGAGGAGAAACCAUCGUGCACAGUAUAUGAGCAAAGAUUUUAGUGUCAGACCACCUGAAAUAGAAUACUGGAUCCACCAUGCCAGAGGCAGGACCCCCAAACUCCACUCCUGCAUAAAAGCAAUGAGAACAUGGGGGGAAAUGGUCCAAGUCAAGUUUUUUAAAACUAUGGAGAUUACCAAAGUUUUGUAACAAUGCAAGAAUUUAUUCAAGAAAAAUGGCUAAAUCUUGGUAAGAAUGGUGAGCCCUGUGGCAUUUUAAGGAGGGAGCUGCCCUUUCCCAGUUACAUGGUAAGCUUCAAAAUCAAUGGCCUCCCAAUCACGGUAGCUGUAAAAACCAGCAGCCUGACAGCCACUGAAGAGGGAAAAACAGGUCUGGAGCUCCCGAAACAGCAACAACCCAAAGCAUGGUCACUAACUGACCUGUGAGUUCCCUGGAAAAGCUCCAUUCCCACUGUCUCCAUCUGACCUGAUACUGACAUCACUCAGUGAGAACAGCCCUAUAUCAAGGGGCUAUUCAACAUUGUAGCUGCUGGAGACAGCGUUAUCAAGUGAUCUGAUGAGAGGUCGAUGAGAAAACUUAAAUGAAAAAAUUGGGAAAUGAGAACAGAGGUUUUUGAAAAGCUCUGACUUAUUGCUAGGAAUCUAAAAGGCCACAAGCAUGUGCAGGGCUGUGUAGUCCCUGGGAAGCGAUGAGAGUGACCGGGGAGCAAUGAGAAGGUCCUUUUCUCUCACUGAUGGCUGGUGCUCAGACUCUGCACAGGGAGGAGGCGAAGGCUAAGGCGGAGUUGCAAAUUUCCUGCCCAGGCAUUGAAGCCAUGCCCCAGUACACGCCCAAAAGCCCCACAGCAAAGGCCAGGAGAUGUACUGAUUCAAGUCAUUUAAGAGAAUCUCUGUCAGGGGCGCCUGGGUGGCACAGCGGUUAAGCGUCUGCCUUCGGCUCAGGGCGUGAUCCCGACAUUGUGGGAUCGAGCCCCACAUCAGGCUCCUCUGCUACAAGCCUGC